rnacentral:rRNA from 1 species
UACGUAGGGGGCAAGCGUUGUCCGGAAUUAUUGGGCGUAAAGAGCGAGCAGGCGGCAUACCAAGUUGGACGUGAAAUUUUAGGGCUUAACCCUAAAGGGUCGUCCAAAACUGGUAAGCUAGAGUGCAGGAGAGGAAAGCGGAAUUCCCGGUGUAGUGGUGAAAUGCGUAGAUAUCGGGAGGAACACCAGAGGCGAAGGCGGCUUUCUGGCCUGUAACUGACGCUGAGGCGCGAAGGCUGGGGUAGCGAACAGG